GACGAACGCUGGCGGCGUGCUUAACACAUGCAAGUCGAACGAAGUGGCGAACGGGUGAGUAACGCGUAAUCAACCUGCCCUUCAGAGGGGGACAACAGUUGGAAACGACUGCUAAUACCGCAUACUGAAGGAGGGGAUUGCGUCUGAUUAGCUAGUUGGAGGGGUAACGGCCCACAAAGGCGAUGAUCAGUAGCCGGUCUUGGGGGAUGACCGGCCCCCUGGGAACUGAUACCGGGCCCAGCCUCCUACGGGGGGCAGAAGUGGGGAAUCUUCCGCAAUGGACGAAAGUCUGACGGAGCAACGCCGCGUGAUUGAAGAAGGUUUUCGGUUCGUAAAACUCUGUUGUUAGAUAAGCGGUAUCUAACCAGAAAGCCACGGCUAACUACGUGCCAGCAGCCGCGGUAAUAC
rnacentral:rRNA from 1 species